AUUGAACGCUGGCGGCAGGCCUAACACAUGCAAGUCGAACGAGUGGCGGACGGGUGAGUAAUGUCUGGGAACCAGCCUGAUGGAGGGGGAUAACUACUGGUGACGGUACCUAAUACCGCAUACCAUCGGAUGUGCCCAGAUGGGAUUAGCUGUAGGUGGGGUAAAGGCGAACCUAGGCGACGAUCCCCAGCGGAUCUAAGAGGAUGACCAGCCACACUGGAACUGAGAGACGGUCCAGACUCCUACGGGAGGCAGCAGUGGGGAAUAUUGCACAAUGGGCGCAAGCCUGAUGCAGCCAUGCCGCGUGUAUGAAGAAGGCCUUCGGGUUGUAAAGUACUUUCAGCGGUGAGGCGUUACCCGCAGAAGAAGCACCGGCUAACUCCGUGCCAGCAGCCGCGGUAAUUC
rnacentral:rRNA from 1 species